CCGAAACCCGGUGAUCUAGCCAUGGGCAGGUUGAAGGUUGGGUAACACUAACUGGAGGACCGAACCGACUAAUGUUGAAAAAUUAGCGGAUGACUUGUGGCUGGGGGUGAAAGGCCAAUCAAACCGGGAGAUAGCUGGUUCUCCCCGAAAGCUAUUUAGGUAGCGCCUCGUGAAUUCAUCUCCGGGGGUAGAGCACUGUUUCGGCAAGGGGGUCAUCCCGACUUACCAACCCGAUGCAAACUGCGAAUACCGGAGAAUGUUAUCACGGGAGACACACGGCGGGUGCUAACGUCCGUCGUGAAGAGGGAAACAACCCAGACCGCCAGCUAAGGUCCCAAAGUCAUGGUUAAGUGGGAAACGAUGUGGGAAGGCCCAGACAGCCAGGAUGUUGGCUUAGAAGCAGCCAUCAUUUAAAGAAAGCGUAAUAGCUCACUGGUCGAGUCGGCCUGCGCGGAAGAUGUAACGGGGCUAAACCAUGCACCGAAGCUGCGGCAGCGACGCUGAUGCGUUGUUGGGUAGGGGAGCGUUCUGUAAGCCUGUGAAGGUGUGCUGUGAGGCAUGCUGGAGGUAUCAGAAGUGCGAAUGCUGACAUAAGUAACGAUAAAGCGGGUGAAAAGCCCGCUCGCCGGAAGACCAAGGGUUCCUGUCCAACGUUAAUCGGGGCAGGGUGAGUCGACCCCUAAGGCGAGGCCGAAAGGCGUAGUCGAUGGGAAACAGGUUAAUAUUCCUGUACUUGGUGUUACUGCGAAGGGGGGACGGAGAAGGCUAUGUUGGCCGGGCGACGGUUGUCCCGGUUUAAGCGUGUAGGCUGGUUUUCCAGGCAAAUCCGGAAAAUCAAGGCUGAGGCGUGAUGACGAGGCACUACGGUGCUGAAGCAACAAAUGCCCUGCUUCCAGGAAAAGCCUCUAAGCAUCAGGUAACAUCAAAUCGUACCCCAAACCGACACAGGUGGUCAGGUAGAGAAUACCAAGGCGCUUGAGAGAACUCGGGUGAAGGAACUAGGCAAAAUGGUGCCGUAACUUCGGGAGAAGGCACGCUGAUAUGUAGGUGAAGUCCCUCGCGGAUGGAGCUGAAAUCAGUCGAAGAUACCAGCUGGCUGCAACUGUUUAUUAAAAACACAGCACUGUGCAAACACGAAAGUGGACGUAUACGGUGUGACGCCUGCCCGGUGCCGGAAGGUUAAUUGAUGGGGUCAGCGCAAGCGAAGCUCUUGAUCGAAGCCCCGGUAAACGGCGGCCGUAACUAUAACGGUCCUAAGGUAGCGAAAUUCCUUGUCGGGUAAGUUCCGACCUGCACGAAUGGCGUAAUGAUGGCCAGGCUGUCUCCACCCGAGACUCAGUGAAAUUGAACUCGCUGUGAAGAUGCAGUGUACCCGCGGCAAGACGGAAAGACCCCGUGAACCUUUACUAUAGCUUGACACUGAACAUUGAGCCUUGAUGUGUAGGAUAGGUGGGAGGCUUUGAAGUGUGG
rnacentral:rRNA from 1 species